rnacentral:rRNA from 1 species
UACAGAGGUCUCAAGCGUUGUUCGGAUUCAUUGGGCGUAAAGGGUGCGUAGGCGGCGCGGUAAGUCGGGUGUGAAAGUCUCGGAGCUUAACUCCGAAACUGCAUUCGAUACUGCCGUGCUUGAGGACUGGAGAGGAGACUGGAAUUUACGGUGUAGCGGUGAAAUGCGUAGAUAAUCGUAAGGAAGACCAGUGGCGAAGGCGGGUCUCGUGGACAGUUCCUGACGCUGAGGCACGAAGGUCAGGGGAGCAAACGGG